UGCAAGCCGAGCCGCACGCGUAAAUUCCUGUACCGAGCCGAGCCGCGCCUGCGCCAAGCCGAGCCGGUCCCUGUCCUUUUCCAGCCGAGCCGCCAAGACUAAUUUGGCUCCAUCCACCUAAAUUUUGGGACGUCUUGGACCAAGUAAUUGCUGCAGCGCGGGAUUUCUUCAGUAGGGGCUCGAGCACUGCAACCUCCUUCUAGGUUAGGACCUCGUCGCUUGGAAAGCGUACUGCCUCGCGGUUAGGACUCGACAAGUAAAUCUCCAGGUA